UGCCUUUCUCCUCCUGUCAUUCUGAGGACGCCCCAGCCAGGUGGAACUAGGAAAGAAAGCCAAGUAAAUCAAAAGGAACAGAAACUGGAAAUAUGCAGGCAUACUUGUGGCUGGUGUUAUUCCACUACUUGUACAUCAUGUGGUUUACCUCAACAUGUGGAAAAAUACAAUGCAAUGGCUCACACCUGUAAUCCCAACAUUUUGGGAGGCCAAGGCAGGAGGAUCACUGGAACCCAGGUUUUGAGACCAACAUGGCAAAAACCUCAUUUCUCCAAAAAAAAUAGAAAUUUGCUGCAUGUGGUGGCACACAUCUGUGUUCCCAACUAUUCAGGAGGCUUAGGUGGGAGGAUCACUUGAGCCUAGAAGGCAGAGGUUGCAGUCAGCUGAGAUCCAGCCACUACACUCCAGCCUGGGUGACAGAUUGAGACCCUGUCUCAAAACAUGCAAUAAACAAAACUUUGUUUCCUCCAGAAAACUAUUGUAAUUGUGACUUAGAGAAGUACCUAUUUGAAACUUAUCUGAACAUGAUCUUAACAUUAUAUUUAUUUGACUUUUUUCGUCUGUCCAGUUUUCUUCAUGAGUUUAUUCAGCCACCUAAAGAAAUUGAAAACUACUGUACUUAGAUAGAAAUCACAUUUCAUAAUUUGCUUAUAAUUCCCCCUAGGCCUUCUGCAUUUUAUGCAUAUUGAACAUUAUACAAUUUAAUGAAUGGAUCAUUGGAAAAUCUCUCAUUAUGUACACAAUUACAGAUGCAAUGCAUUUUCAUAAGUUAUAUAAUUGUUUUAUUUAGUGUUACAGUUAAGGCUGAAGAUUGAGGCCUGUACACACUAAACUAUUCUUUAUAUAAUGGUUUAUUAAAAUGCCCUUUUAAAUUAUAUAACUUUCUGCAUUGAAAUUGGUUUGUCCUUACUUAACAGAUUUAAUCAUUAAUAACCAUAAAGAGUUUCUCUCGCUGAAAUCAUUAAUACAUUUACUUAUAUAGAGAUAGAUAGAUGCUGGAAUAUACUUAUUAGCUUAUGAAUAACACAGUUACAUCACAUUGACUCAUUUCAGAAAUGUCAGUAUAAGUCACAAAAUAGUUUGUGAAAUGACUAUGGUAUGCUUUUGGCUACAACACUGAGUCUACUGUGCCUGAGGAAAUUAGACUCUGAGGGGGGAAAAAGAAAAAUUCACAAAAUCAAAUUUUUAGCACCAGGGUUGCUGCGAGCACUACCCCAGAGGGUGCCAUUUGUGGCAAGGUCUAUGGAGUUAAACAGUGUAGGCUAUGUGGUUUAUAUGGCAGCCCUGCAGAAACCAGAGAGUAUACAGAAAGAUAUCAUAAACUUUUGAACUUUAGUGCCACUCCUCAGUUAAGUGGUCUUCAAACUCUUACGGAUGUUUCGUCAAUCUGAUAUAAUCCGAGAUGUUAGAAUGUACAAUGGUCCUUACCAAUCAUUUUAUUUGGUAGAAAAGAAAAAUAAAAUAUAACAAUGAAAAGUAAAAUUACAUAUUUAAAAUACAUAUACAUAAAAUAGAAUUAAUAAAGCACAAAAUAUAUGACAAGCAUCUAAAUAUUCAGUAUUUUUCAUAGUCUAAAUUUUCUACUGCUAUACUGUAA